rnacentral:rRNA from 1 species
GACGAACGCUGGCGGCGUGCUUAACACAUGCAAGUCGAGCGGAAAGGCCCUUUCGGGGGUACUCGAGUGGCGAACGGGUGAGUAACACGUGGGCAACCUGCUCUCAGCUCUGGGAUAACUCCGGGAAACCGGGGCUAAUACUGGAUAUUCACUGCUCAUCGCAUGGUGGGUGGUGGAAAGUUUUUCGGCUGGGGAUGGGCCCGCGGCCUACCAGCUUGUUGGUGGGGUGAUGGCCUACCAAGGCGACGACGGGUAGCCGGCCUGAGAGGGCGACCGGCCACACUGGGACUGAGACACGGCCCAGACUCCUACGGGAGGCAGCAGUGGGGAAUAUUGCGCAAUGGGCGGAAGCCUGACGCAGCGACGCCGCGUGAGGGAUGACGGCCUUCGGGUUGUAAACCUCUUUCAGCUCUGACGAAGCGAGAGUGACGGUAGGAGCAGAAGAAGCACCGGCCAACUACGUGCCAGCAGCCGCAGUAACAC